UACGUAGGGCGCAAGCGUUGUCCGGAAUCAUUGGGCGUAAAGAGCGUGUAGGCGGUCCGGUAAGUCGGCUGUGAAAGUCCAGGGCUCAACCCUGGGAUGCCGGUCGAUACUGCCGGACUAGAGUUCGGAAGAGGCGAGUGGAAUUCCCGGUGUAGCGGUGAAAUGCGCAGAUAUCGGGAGGAACACCUAUGGCGAAGGCAGCUCGCUGGGACGUUACUGACGCUGAGACGCGAAAGCGUGGGGAGCAAACAGG
rnacentral:rRNA from 1 species